GACGAACGCUGGCGGCGUGCUUAACACAUGCAAGUCGAACGGAAAGGCCCCUUUGGGGGUACUCGAGUGGCGAACGGGUGAGUAACACGUGAGUAACCUGCCCUUGACUUCGGGAUAACUUCAGGAAACUGGGGCUAAUACCGGCUAGGAAUCCUUGCUGCAUGGUGGGGGUUGGAAAGCUUCGGCGGUUUUGGAUGGACUCGCGGCUUAUCAGCUUGUUGGUGGGGUAGUGGCUUACCAAGGCUUUGACGGGUAGCCGGCCUGGGAGGGCGACCGGCCACAUUGGGACUGAGAUACGGCCCAGACUCCUACGGGAGGCAGCAGUGGGGAAUAUUGCACAAUGGGCGGAAGCCUGAUGCAGCAACGCCGCGUGCGGGAUGACGGCCUUCGGGUUGUAAACCGCUUUCAGCAGGGGCGAAGCUUGUGGUGACGGUACCUGCAGAAGAAGCACCGGCUAACUACGUG
rnacentral:rRNA from 1 species